GACGAACGCUGGCGGCGCGCUUAACACAUGCAAGUCGAACGGAAAGGCCCUGCUUUUGUGGGGUGCUCGAGUGGCGAACGGGUGAGUAACACGUGAGUAAACUGCCCUUGACUUUGGGAUAACUUCAGGAAACUGGGGCUAAUACCGGAUAGGAGCUCCUGCUGCAUGGUGGGGGUUGGAAAGUUUCGGCGGUUGGGGAUGGACUCGCGGCUUAUCAGCUUGUUGGUGGGGUAGUGGCUUACCAAGGCUUUGACGGGUAGCCGGCCUGAGAGGGUGACCGGCCACAUUGGGACUGAGAUACGGCCCAGACUCCUACGGGAGGCAGCAGUGGGGAAUAUUGCACAAUGGGCGGAAGCCUGAUGCAGCAACGCCGCGUGCGGGAUGACGGCCUUCGGGUUGUAAACCGCUUUCGCCUGUGACGAAGCGUGAGUGACGGUAAUGGGUAAAGAAGCACCGGCUAACUACGUG
rnacentral:rRNA from 1 species